UACGUAGGGUGCAAGCGUUGUCCGGAAUCAUUGGGCGUAAAGCGCGCGUAGGUGGCUUCGUAAGUCCGUUGUGAAAGUCAAAGGCUCAACCUUUGAAUGCCGAUGGAUACUGCGAAGCUAGAGUACGGAAGAGGCGAGUGGAAUUCCUGGUGUAGCGGUGGAAUGCGCAGAUAUCAGGAGGAACACCGAUGGCGAAGGCAGAUCUCUGGGCCGUAACUGACGCUGAGGAGCGAAAGCAUGGGGAGCGAACAGG
rnacentral:rRNA from 1 species